UCCUGUUUGUACUUUCCUGAGAUGAAGCAG
rnacentral:piRNA from 1 species